GAAUUAAAGUUGAACAAUCUCUGGACUCGGUGCCUCUGUGUGAUGCGAGGCUCUCCCUCUGAUGUGCUUUCCAGAAUCACUGCCGUCAAAUGCUAGAGAGGCAUUUCUUAAAGUUAAUCUCUCCCUUUGGCUCUCGUGAAAACAUCCAAGUGUUUCUUUCCUGUGAGUCACCAGCACAGGUCAAGUCAACUUAGGAGAGCACAGGCCACAGUAGCAGCAGAGCAGCUGGGACAGGCUCCUACAGUUCUGCAUCUGCAGCCAGAAGGUGGAGCUGAUUCUUAGUCCUCUGUACACCUUCUCUGCCACAGGAGAGCUUGGCUCCAGGAAGAGUCUGACCCGGGGACCUCAGCUCUAGCUGUUAAGAUCGUCCAAGGAUAUUUAAAUGAAGAAGGAAGAUAUACCCUGAAUGGAGAUCGAACUGUUUCCUGGACUGGAAGAAAGAAGAAAUGGGAAGAGAUUAAGCAGCUGCAUAGCAGGGUUCUCUGCUCUGGCUCAGGAUGCCAUGUGAUCAGCUGCCUUAUGUGCCUGCUGCUGUCUCUCCACAAUAAUGGUCUGUGUUUUUCUGAACUAUCAUCCAAAAUAUACCCUUCCUCUGCUGAGUUGCUUUUUUCAUGAAUUUCAAAACUGUGAUGAGAAAUGUGGCUAAUAUAAUAUCUACAUUAGCUAACUGGUUAUGCUAAAUAUGUUACUGCAAUAUGUGAUAUAAAUAAUAUGACUAUGACUGUACCAUCUCCAUUUUCUUAUGAUUAUCAAGUCAUUUUUUUAAAAAAACCUUUUGAAUAAUACACUUAAGUGUGAAAUACGCUGUUAUGUACAUUUGACCACCAUAAAAAAUACAUCAUUGAGUGUUAAUCAUAGAUGAGGUCAUCGGUGGGGUUGAGUGAGGGCAGAAUGGAAAAUCUCUAUGCCAUUCUCUCAAUUUUCCUAUUAACCUAAACACUAGAAAUAAGUAUAUUUUGUAAAGUAUAUUAUAAAAAUAAACAACCAGACCACUAGACCUGAGUCAUCUCCCAUUCUUCAACCCAUGCUCCCAGAGGCUAAGAGGAAGGGGGGAACUCCCACUGCUCUCUUGGCCCCAUUUCUUUUCUCUAACACCUUUCAGUUAGGAUAUUCACACGAACUUACAAGGAAUGAUGAACACCAAGGUGAGUUCUCGGAGUCCCAGAUAAAUUCAGAAGCGUAGAUUUAGAAUUGAGGUGUAUUAUUUAAAUUCUGCAGGUUAGCUGGAGAGAAUUGAUCUCGUGUUUCCACGGGUAUUGUCAGGAACUAUCAUCAUUUGCUUUGUUACUCUUCCAUAUGGGUGUUGUUAUCAAGUACAAGCUUCAACGUUGCUCCAACACUCAGAUCCAGAGGAUGCAGUGCCUCCUUUCAUGAACAUAUAUAUAUACACUACAUUACCGAUUGGUUCUAGGUAGAGGAGAGUAAAUCAGAUCAUGUAACUCACCUUUCCAACCACUUAGCUUUCUUCAAGUUGGGACUACAUUGCUAGUGCCUGGGUUUUACAGCAGAUCUCAGUCUAUCCUGUGCUACACGAGACACUCAAAUUCAUAUCAGCACUCCAUUAUGCACAGAAUUGUAUGAAGUCAUUGGGAUGAGUGUGGAUAAAAAACUAACUCCAAAUAAAU
rnacentral:lncRNA from 1 species